rfam:Triticum aestivum genome assembly, contig: Triticum_aestivum_CS42_TGACv1_scaffold_342561_4DL
UAUGUACUCCCUCCGUCCCAAAAUUCUUGUCUUAGAUUUGUCUAGUCUGUAUCUAGACAAAUCUAAGACAAGAAUUUUGGGACGGAGGUAAUACCUG